UAUUUGGUGUACAUUUCGUCAAUUUUCAAACUUUUGUUGAUACAUUUUUAAUUUUAUAAUUCGAAGCAAAAUAUUUUUCUGAAAAUGCCAAUACAUUAAACUCGAACUUCAAACCGGUACUGAAACUGAGUGUGUAUACUGGCGAUAGCAAUUUACGUCACCUACAAUCGCUACAGUUUGUUAACGGUCGGACCGGACACCCGAUUUGUGCCAGGAUGAAUGAAUUCCCGUUUUGUACCUUAUACAACACCACCUACUGAUCAGCCAUUCACAACUGUACGUUUUGCGAGACGAGGACGGUUGCGGCCCGUACGCUAUACAACUAUAAUACUACAACAGCAGCCGCUCUAUAUAUACAUCGUCCACUAUACAAACUGCACCAAUAUUGCUAUUGUUAUCGUCAUUAUGAUAUUCUACAAGUAUUCGCGGUAAGUUGAAACGAGAAUAAGUGUCGAUGGUAUGGACGAACGGACGGCGAGAGAGGGCGUUUGAUUAGGGAAACUGUAACAUACCUCAUCGUGAAUAU